rnacentral:rRNA from 1 species
GUUUGAUCAUGGCUCAGAAUCAACGCUGGCGGCGUGCCUCAGACAUGCAAGUCGAACGCGAAAGUCCCCUUCGGGAUAAGUAGAGUGGCGUCCGGGUGAGUAACACGUAGGUAAUCUACCUUCGGGUGGGGAAUAACCCAGGGAAACUUGGGCUAAUACCGCAUAAUGCAGCGGCACCACAUGGUGACAGUUGUUAAAGCGGGGGAUCUUCGGAUCUCGCGCCUGAAGAGGAGCCUGCGCAGAUUAGCUAGUUGGUAAGGUAACGGCUUACCAAGGCGACGAUCUGUAGCCGGCCUGAGAGGGCGGUCGGCCACACUGACACUGACAUACGGGUCAGACUCCUACGGGAGGCAGCAGUCGGGAAUUUUGGGCAAUGGGCGAAACUGACCCAGCAACGCCGCGUGAAGGAUGAAAUCCUCGGGAUGUAAACUUCGCAAGAUGGGAAGAAUUAGUAGGGGUUAAUACCCUCUAUGAUGACGGUACCAUUUGUAAGCUCCGGCUAACUCCCGUGCCAGCAGCGCGGUAAUACGGGGGGGAGCAAGCGUUUGUUCGGAUUUACUGGGCGUAAAAGGCGCGUAGCGUCAGCACAAGUCAGUUGUGAAAUCUCCGGGCUAACUCGGAAA